rnacentral:rRNA from 1 species
CCUACGGGUGGCUGCAGUGGGGGAUAUUGGACAAUGGGGGGAACCCUGAUGCAGCGACGCCGCGUGGGUGAAGAAGUGUUUCGGCACGUAAAGCUCUAUCAGCAGGGAAGAAAAUGACGGUACCUGACUAAGAAGCCCCGGCUAACUACGUGCCAGCAGCCGCGGUAAUACGUAGGGGGCAAGCGUUAUCCGGAUUUACUGGGUGUAAAGGGAGCGUAGACGGCACAGCAAGUCUGAUGUGAAAGGCCGGGGCCCAACCCCGGGACUGCAUUGGAAACUGUAGGGCUGGAGUACAGGAGGGGCAAGCGGAAUUCCUAGUGUAGCGGUGAAAGGCGUAGAUAUUAGGAGGAACACCAGGGGCGAAGGCGGCCUACUGGACUGUAACUGACGUUGAGGCCCGAAGGCGUGGGGAGCAAACAGGAUUAGAUACCCUUGUAGUC